GAUGCUGAGGACGUUGGUUGAAAUACUGAUUUGGAUCUUGAUAAUUGUUGGGAUUUUGAUGACGUUGGUUGGGAAAAUGAUUUGGAUCUGGAUAAUUGUUGGGAUUUUGGUUGUUAUAUGAGUAGUUAGAUGAAUUCUGGGUGUU
rnacentral:pre_miRNA from 1 species